rnacentral:rRNA from 1 species
CCGGCGCACGGGUGAGUAACACGUACCCAACCUGCCGUCUACUCUUGGACAGCCUUCUGAAAGGAAGAUUAAUACAAGAUGGCAUCAUGAGUCCGCAUGUUCACAUGAUUAAAGGUAUUCCGGUAGACGAUGGGGAUGCGUUCCAUUAGAUAGUAGGCGGGGUAACGGCCCACCUAGUCUUCGAUGGAUAGGGGUUCUGAGAGGAAGGUCCCCCACAUUGGAACUGAGACACGGUCCAA